rnacentral:rRNA from 1 species
GGGUAACCUGCCCAAGAGAUCGGGAUAACACCUGGAAACAGAUGCUAAUACCGGAUAACAACAGAUGAUGCCCAUCAACUGUUUAAAAGAUGGUUCUGCUAUCACUCUUGGAUGGACCUGCGGUGCAUUAGCUAGUUGGUAGGGUAACGGCCUACCAAGGCGAUGAUGCAUAGCCGAGUUGAGAGACUGAUCGGCCACAUUGGGACUGAGACACGGCCCAAACUCCUACGGGAGGCAGCAGUA